GGGUUGUGAGGUUAAGCGACUAAGCGUACACGGUGGAUGCCCUGGCAGUCAGAGGCGAUGAAGGACGUGCUAAUCUGCGAUAAGCGUCGGUAAGGUGAUAUGAACCGUUAUAACCGGCGAUUUCCGAAUGGGGAAACCCAGUGUGAUUCGUCACACUAUCAUUAACUGAAUCCAUAGGUUAAUGAGGCGAACCGGGGGAACUGAAACAUCUAAGUACCCCGAGGAAAAGAAAUCAACCGAGAUUCCCCCAGUAGCGGCGAGCGAACGGGGAGCAGCCCAGAGCCUGAAUCAGUGUGUGUGUUAGUGGAAGCGUCUGGAAAGGCGUGCGAUACAGGGUGACAGCCCCGUACACAAAAAUGCACAUGCUGUGAGCUCGAUGAGUAGGGCGGGACACGUGGUAUCCUGUCUGAAUAUGGGGGGACCAUCCUCCAAGGCUAAAUACUCCUGACUGACCGAUAGUGAACCAGUACCGUGAGGGAAAGGCGAAAAGAACCCCGGCGAGGGGAGUGAAAAAGAACCUGAAACCGUGUACGUACAAGCAGUGGGAGCACGCUUAGGCGUGUGACUGCGUACCUUUUGUAUAAUGGGUCAGCGACUUAUAUUCUGUAGCAAGGUUAACCGAAUAGGGGAGCCGAAGGGAAACCGAGUCUUAACUGGGCGUUAAGUUGCAGGGUAUAGACCCGAAACCCGGUGAUCUAGCCAUGGGCAGGUUGAAGGUUGGGUAACACUAACUGGAGGACCGAACCGACUAAUGUUGAAAAAUUAGCGGAUGACUUGUGGCUGGGGGUGAAAGGCCAAUCAAACCGGGAGAUAGCUGGUUCUCCCCGAAAGCUAUUUAGGUAGCGCCUCGUGAAUUCAUCUCCGGGGGUAGAGCACUGUUUCGGCAAGGGGGUCAUCCCGACUUACCAACCCGAUGCAAACUGCGAAUACCGGAGAAUGUUAUCACGGGAGACACACGGCGGGUGCUAACGUCCGUCGUGAAGAGGGAAACAACCCAGACCGCCAGCUAAGGUCCCAAAGUCAUGGUUAAGUGGGAAACGAUGUGGGAAGGCCCAGACAGCCAGGAUGUUGGCUUAGAAGCAGCCAUCAUUUAAAGAAAGCGUAAUAGCUCACUGGUCGAGUCGGCCUGCGCGGAAGAUGUAACGGGGCUAAACCAUGCACCGAAGCUGCGGCAGCGACACUGUGUGUUGUUGGGUAGGGGAGCGUUCUGUAAGCCUGCGAAGGUGUGCUGUGAGGCAUGCUGGAGGUAUCAGAAGUGCGAAUGCUGACAUAAGUAACGAUAAAGCGGGUGAAAAGCCCGCUCGCCGGAAGACCAAGGGUUCCUGUCCAACGUUAAUCGGGGCAGGGUGAGUCGACCCCUAAGGCGAGGCCGAAAGGCGUAGUCGAUGGGAAACAGGUUAAUAUUCCUGUACUUGGUGUUACUGCGAAGGGGGGACGGAGAAGGCUAUGUUGGCCGGGCGACGGUUGUCCCGGUUUAAGCGUGUAGGCUGGUUUUCCAGGCAAAUCCGGAAAAUCAAGGCUGAGGCGUGAUGACGAGGCACUACGGUGCUGAAGCAACAAAUGCCCUGCUUCCAGGAAAAGCCUCUAAGCAUCAGGUAACAUCAAAUCGUACCCCAAACCGACACAGGUGGUCAGGUAGAGAAUACCAAGGCGCUUGAGAGAACUCGGGUGAAGGAACUAGGCAAAAUGGUGCCGUAACUUCGGGAGAAGGCACGCUGAUAUGUAGGUGAAGUCCCUCGCGGAUGGAGCUGAAAUCAGUCGAAGAUACCAGCUGGCUGCAACUGUUUAUUAAAAACACAGCACUGUGCAAACACGAAAGUGGACGUAUACGGUGUGACGCCUGCCCGGUGCCGGAAGGUUAAUUGAUGGGGUCAGCGCAAGCGAAGCUCUUGAUCGAAGCCCCGGUAAACGGCGGCCGUAACUAUAACGGUCCUAAGGUAGCGAAAUUCCUUGUCGGGUAAGUUCCGACCUGCACGAAUGGCGUAAUGAUGGCCAGGCUGUCUCCACCCGAGACUCAGUGAAAUUGAACUCGCUGUGAAGAUGCAGUGUACCCGCGGCAAGACGGAAAGACCCCGUGAACCUUUACUAUAGCUUGACACUGAACAUUGAGCCUUGAUGUGUAGGAUAGGUGGGAGGCUUUGAAGUGUGGACGCCAGUCUGCAUGGAGCCGACCUUGAAAUACCACCCUUUAAUGUUUGAUGUUCUAACGUUGACCCGUGAUCCGGGUUGCGGACAGUGUCUGGUGGGUAGUUUGACUGGGGCGGUCUCCUCCUAAAGAGUAACGGAGGAGCACGAAGGUUGGCUAAUCCUGGUCGGACAUCAGGAGGUUAGUGCAAUGGCAUAAGCCAGCUUGACUGCGAGCGUGACGGCGCGAGCAGGUGCGAAAGCAGGUCAUAGUGAUCCGGUGGUUCUGAAUGGAAGGGCCAUCGCUCAACGGAUAAAAGGUACUCCGGGGAUAACAGGCUGAUACCGCCCAAGAGUUCAUAUCGACGGCGGUGUUUGGCACCUCGAUGUCGGCUCAUCACAUCCUGGGGCUGAAGUAGGUCCCAAGGGUAUGGCUGUUCGCCAUUUAAAGUGGUACGCGAGCUGGGUUUAGAACGUCGUGAGACAGUUCGGUCCCUAUCUGCCGUGGGCGCUGGAGAACUGAGGGGGGCUGCUCCUAGUACGAGAGGACCGGAGUGGACGCAUCACUGGUGUUCGGGUUGUCAUGCCAAUGGCACUGCCCGGUAGCUAAAUGCGGAAGAGAUAAGUGCUGAAAGCAUCUAAGCACGAAACUUGCCCCGAGAUGAGUUCUCCCUGACUCCUUGAGAGUCCUGAAGGAACGUUGAAGACGACGACGUUGAUAGGCCGGGUGUGUAAGCGCAGCGAUGCGUUGAGCUAACCGGUACUAAUGAACCGUGAGGCUUAACCUUACAACGCCGAAGGUGUUU
rnacentral:rRNA from 1 species